rnacentral:rRNA from 1 species
GAUGAACGCUAGCGGCAGGCUUAACACAUGCAAGUCGAGGGGCAGCAUGAGUGUUAGCAAUAACACUUGAUGGCGACCGGCGCAAGGGUGCGUAACGCGUGAGCAACUUGCCCUUAUCAGGGGGAUAACCAUUGGAAACGGUGACUAAUACCCCAUAGUAUACUUUUAAGGCAUCUUUUGAGGAUUAAAAAAUUUCGGAUAAGGAUAGGCUCGCGUGGCAUUAUCUAGAUGGCGGGGUAACGGCCCACCAGGGCGACGAUGUCUAGGGGUUCUGAGAGGAAGGUCCCCCACACUGGAACUGAGACACGGUCCAGACUCCUACGGGAGGCAGCAGUGAGGAAUAUUGGUCAAUGGUCUGACGACUGAACCAGCCAUGCCGCGUGAAGGUCACGGCCCUAUGGGUCUUAAACUUCUUUUGUAAGGGAGCAAUAAGGCGCACGUGUGCGUCAAUGAGAGUACCUUACGAAUAAGCAUCGGCUAACUCCGUGCCAGCCGCCGCCGUAAAAC